ACACAAAGUUAAGAUAUUGUUGUGUUUGUUAUCUCAAUCACUGUAAAACACUGUUACAGCACUGCCAGAUACAUAUACAGGUAUUCUUAUUACACAUUGUUACAGCACUGCCAGAUACAUAUACAGGUAUUCUUAUUACACAUUGUUACAGCACUGCCAGAUACAUAUACAGGUAUUCUUAUAAACUCCCCAUUAAUGAUGUUUAUAUGUUGAUACUGUAACAAAAUAUUGGUCAGUAUUUGUAUAUUACCAUACGAGACUGUGUAUUGGGAGGGGGAGGGGGGGACUUAACACCAGGCAUCUUCCUAGUACACAGGAGGUGGUAGAAGUUAGGGUUGGACUUGUUGCCAUGUAUUAUACAAAACCUCUUUUGUGGUGAGAGUUCUACCAGUACAUUUACAAUUUAUAAAUAUAAAUGGAUUUUGUUGACUCUUAAAUGGCUCUUUGUGCUUUUACAUUUUUUAUGGAAAAAAGCCACUCACUUUCAUAUAUUCAUGUCAAAUUAAAUACAUUAUUCUAAUGAUGAUAUCAUGUACACAAGGUCAGCAAUUUUACUUGUUGUCUUUUUUGAAUACAUUUGUCUACACUUACUACUGUUAACAAUUACAGUACAUGUAUUUCAUUUGUAAAAAGGAAAUGCUCACUGGUGUUAUUUUCUAGUUUAUAUAAAUUCCUAAAUACUCUCUUUUAACAAAGGAAAAUGUAUCAAUACAUUUAAGCCAUUCACAUACAGAAGAGAAAGUACAUUGUGUACAUUGUGAAUUCCCAUUGGGUGAAGUCCUUGUAGGCUAUGUAAUUAACACUAUUAUCUCAGGAAAGUCCUUUUAUAUCAUCAAUAGUUCAGUAUUUUUUUCAUAUGAAAUGCGAUUAUGUAUCAGAUACAUGUACAUUGUGUGCAAUUUAUAGAAAAUCCUGUAUAAGAUACUUUUAUGUUUGUUCCAAUCUUUGAUGUUUGUGAUCAUGUUAGUGAAUGUGUGGUAUCGACUAGAUCAUCAUUAUAACUGCUAGUGCAAUCAUUAUAAUCUAUGCUAAUACCCCACUCGUCCAUUUUAGUCAAUUCCACAAUCUAAAUUACAUGAUUGUUAUUUAAAUCUUUUAAAAGCAUUGAAGGUUGUAUUGUUAUUUGUUUUAAGCCAUGCAGACUUAAAACAGGGUUGUCUCAGUCCUAGGUAAACAAAGACACAUGUGGAUAUCACCUUCCACAAUAUUUCCUGAAAAAUGGAUACAACAGUCAUUCAGUAGAGCUUUGACCUAUAUGUAUAUUGGGAGGUUUCUUACUCAUUGGUAUUGAAAUCUACAUGGAUCUUGUGUGCCUUACAGCUUGUUUGGUCCUCUAGAGGACUGUGUACGGAACUUAAUGUUUUUUAGCAUAUUUUUGUGAAAUAAGAAGUAUACAAAAUAUGAAUCCCCUAAAUUUGUUUUUUUUCUUCUGUGAGAUAGUCAGAACUGUUAAUCCUCACAUGUUGGCUUCUAGACCAAAAAGUAUGAAAAUUUUAGCCACAAAAUUAAAAUUCUAUCCAGUAAUAUAUCCUAUACAACACAAAAGGCUUUUAUGUCACCAUCUUCACACUGGAUGCUAUUGAGGACUGACUACAACGAAACCAUAUUGAUGUCAAGGUCUGGAAAAUAUCACCUGAAACUUAAUGUUAGAUGGUAAUAGAUGUUUUAGUGAUGUAUAUAAUCAUACAUUGCCUAUGCUAUCUGUAUUGUUUAAUACUUCAAUAGACAGUGCGAUCAUUUUACAUAUUUUACAUUAUAUGUAAACUUUCAAAUUCAUAUUUAAAUGUACAAUGAUGUAAUAUGUAAGGAGAGCACUGAAAUUUUUGCUUAGCUUCCAAUCCUGAUUAAAAAUGUAUUAUAGGAGUGGAAAUUACAAGUAUGAUUUUAAUUAGAUUUCUUAGCUUCAAGACAUGUCUGCAUUGUUAAUACAUUUAAUUUAGAAAUUAAUAGCAAUAAACUUCUCAAGUAUAAAUAU